rnacentral:misc_RNA from 1 species
GUGAAUCAUCAAAUUUUUGAACGCAAAUUGCACUCUCUGCGGAGCGUAUGCCUGUUUGAGGGUCAGUAUUAAUAUAAAUCGGAGUGUUGCUUCUUUGUGCCUCUCCGGAGUUUGGGUCAUCUUUAUAUCGUCUAGGUUUUAAGUGGCUUAAAUUUGAUUUUUUUUGCGCAUUUUAGAUCGACAUUAAUUCUUUUUUUUAUUCGUUUGUCUUACUGCUCCUAAUCCU